rnacentral:lncRNA from 1 species
UUAUUUUACAGAUAUAGAAAUUUAGAUCUGUAAGGACCAUCAGUGUGGUGAAGGUCACAUGAUUUCAGAGAACGUAUGGAAGCACCUGGAUGUUCAAGCAGAAGUUUGCUGCAGGGGCAGGGUGCUCAUGGAGAACCCCUGCUAGGAUAUUGUGAAAUGGAAAUGUGGGGUGGGCACCCCCACACAGAGUCCCCACUGGGGCACUGCCUAGUGGAGAUGUGAAAAGAAUGCCAUCGUCCUUCAGACCCCAGAAUGGUAGCUGUACCGACAGCUUGCACUGUGCACCUGAAAAAGCUGCAGACACUCAAUGCCAGCCCAUGAAAGCGGCUGGGAGGGAGGCUGUGUCCUGCAAAGACAGAGGUGCAGAGCUGUUCAAGACCAUGGGAACCUCCUCUUGGAUCAGUGUGACCCAAAUAUGAGACAUGGGGUCAAAAGAGAUCAUUUUGGACCUUUAAUAUUUGACUGCCCUGCUGGAUUUCAGAAUUUCAUGGGGCCUUUGUUUUAGCCAUUGUUUUUUCCAUUUGCAACAGCUGUACUUACCCAAUGCCCGUACCCCCAUUGUAUGUAGGAAGUAACUAAUUUUCUUCUUAUUUUACUGACUCAUAGGUGGAAGGGACUUGCCUUGUCUCUGAUAAAACUUUGGACUGUGAACUUUUGAGUUAAUGCUGAAAUGAGUUAACACUUUGGAGGACUGUUU